rnacentral:rRNA from 1 species
GAAAGAUGGCUUUAGCUAUCACUCUGGGAUGGACCUGCGGUGCAUUAGCUAGUUGGUAAGGUAACGGCUUACCAAGGCGAUGAUGCAUAGCCGAGUUGAGAGACUGAUCGGCCACAAUGGAACUGAGACACGGUCCAUACUCCUACGGGAGGCAGCAGUAGGGAAUCUUCCACAAUGGGCGCAAGCCUGAUGGAGCAACACCGCGUGAGUGAAGAAGGGUUUCGGCUCGUAAAGCUCUGUUGUUGGAGAAGAACGUGCGUGAGAGUAACUGUUCACGCAGUGACGGUAUCCAACCAGAAAGUCACGGCUAACUACGUGCCAGCAGCCGCGGUAAUACGUAGGUGGCAAGCGUUAUCCGGAUUUAUUGGGCGUAAAGCGAGCGCAGGCGGUUGCUUAGGUCUGAUGUGAAAGCCUUCGGCUUAACCGAAGAAGUGCAUCGGAAACCGGGCAACUUGAGUGCAGAAGAGGAUAGUGGAACUCCAUGUGUAGCGGUGGAAUGCGUAGAUAUAUGGAAGAACACCAGUGGCGAAGGCGGCUGUCUGGUCUGCAACUGACGCUGAGGCUCGAAAGCAUGGGUAGCGAACAGGAUUAGAUACCCUGGUAGUCCAUGCCGUAAACGAUGAGUGCUAGGUGUUGGAGGGUUUCCGCCCUUCA